rnacentral:lncRNA from 1 species
AGGAUGAAGAUUGAGAAAAGGACAUCAGAUUUGAGGAGAGCAGUUUUAGCUGAGUGAUGAGAUCAGAAGCCAAAUGAGGAGGGAUGUAGGAGUGAGGAGGGAAGAGGGAGGAGGAAGGAAGUCAGGGAGUGGAAGAGAGAGAGAGGUGUUUCUCGGAGGACAUUGCAUGCAUGGGGGAAUGGCCUGUACACAGGCACACAGGAGGAAAGGAUAGUGCCAUUUUCAGGGAACUAGGCUAGUUUGGUUGGAAUAUGCUAUAAUGAGCUGUAAAGUGCUCUAGGGAUUCUAAGGAAGGUGAAAUCACUGAGCACUGCAUUGAAGCCAGAUUGUGUUCCUAUGUGGGAGCAAAAACUGAUUUUGACUGAAAGCUUAUGAACACAAGAUCCUUUGAACUGGGAAUGCUUUGGGUGAACUAGAAAUACUCCAUUGGAGAAAACGUGUCAGCGGAAAACAAAGAAAAGGGGUGGACGUUCUCAAGUGACACAGUCCAACCUGUAACUCAAGAUAAUUACUUGUCAAGAAGAAAGGAAACAAGCAUUUAUUAAACACAUAGCAUGUGCCAGGCACCAUGGCUGGACCUGAGUCUCAUGAAGAUUGCUUGUCAGGAAGGAUGGAAAUGAAUAUUUUAUUAAGUGCCUACAAAGUGCCAGGUGCUAAGCUAAAUGCUUUAAAAAUAUCUCAUUUGAUCUUCAAAAUAACCUUAGGAGGGCUUUACAGUUGGAAACAUGACAUAUAAUGAAGAAUGACUCCUCAUCUUUUGAGUCACAGACACCUAAACCAGAAGCAACCUAGAAGAUUUGAUUUCACUCUUUCCCUUCCUCUUUUGGAGAUCUUUGAGAACCAGUAUAAUUUGCAUAAUUCAGCACAGCUGCUCAAGAAGAUGAGCAGGGCCAAAACAACUGGAAAGUAAGGGGUAUUGAUCUUCUCAACACCUCUUGAAUGACUUUAUUUUGUGGAGAAUAACGCUGAAAUAGAAGAUCUGAAAAAGGAUGUGAUUGUCCAUAGAAUCAGUCUUGAAAGAUUUCUAAUAAUACCAAUUAAGUCUUUGGGGUAGUUAUUCACCUGAAUAUCUCCUUAAGAUUUUGCACCAUCAAAUCCAGACUCGGAAAUUUACUACUUAAUCUCUGGCUACUUCAUUUUCCUGAUCUGCAUAAUGGAGAUAAAAAAGAGUUGUUGUGAGGAUCAAAAAGAGAUGAUAUUAUAAAGCACUUGAUUAUUACUCUAGAAUCUCUGAACUACUUUCUCUUCUAUUAUCCCAAAAGAUAUCUCUGCCACUUUUAAAUUUUCUUUUAUAUGUUUCUUCCUCCUUUAUAAUAUAAACUCAGAGGGCCGGGACUGUCUUUUUACUUAUUACUGAAACUUAACACAAUGUUUUCCACAGG